CUGGUUGAUCCUGCCAGUAGUCAUAUGGACGUCUCAAAGAUUAAGCCAUGCAUGUCUAAGUAUAAGCAAUUUAUACAGUGAAACUGCGAAUGGCUCAUUAAAUCAGUUAUCGUUUAUUUGAUAGUACCUUACUACUUGGAUAACCGUGGUAAUUCUAGAGCUAAUACAUGCUUAAAAUCCCGACUGUUUGGAAGGGAUGUAUUUAUUARAUAAAAAAUCAAUGUCUUCGGACUCUUUGAUGAUUCAUAAUAACUUUUCGAAUCGCAUGGCCUUGUGCUGGCGAUGGUUCAUUCAAAUUUCUGCCCUAUCAACUUUCGAUGGUAGGAUAGUGGCCUACCAUGGUUUCAACGGGUAACGGGGAAUAAGGGUUCGAUUCCGGAGAGGGAGCCUGAGAAACGGCUACCACAUCCAAGGAAGGCAGCAGGCGCGCAAAUUACCUAAUCCCGACACGGGGAGGUAGUGACAAUAAAUAACGAUACAGGGCCCUUUCGGGUCUUGUAAUUGGAAUGAGUACAAUGUAAAUACCUUAACGAGGAACAAUUGGAGGGCAAGUCUGGU
rnacentral:rRNA from 1 species